rnacentral:rRNA from 1 species
UACAGAGGGUGCGAGCGUUAAUCGGAAUUACUGGGCGUAAAGGGCGCGUAGGCGGCUUAUUAAGUUAGAUGUGAAAUCCCUGGGCUUAACCUAGGAACUGCAUCUAAUACUGGUAGACUAGAGUGCGGUAGAGGAUAGUGGAAUUUCCGGUGUAGCGGUGAAAUGCGUAGAUAUCGGAAGGAACACCAGUGGCGAAGGCGGCUAUCUGGACUGACACUGACGCUGAGGCGCGAGAGCGUGGGGAGCAAACAGG